GCGCAGCUAUACAUGCAGUCGAGCGAAUGGAUUAAGAGCUUGCUCUUAUGAAGUUAGCGGCGGACGGGUGAGUAACACGUGGGUAACCUGCCCAUAAGACUGGGAUAACUCCGGGAAACCGGGGCUAAUACCGGAUAACAUUUUGAACCGCAUGGUUCGAAAUUGAAAGGCGGCUUCGGCUGUCACUUAUGGAUGGACCCGCGUCGCAUUAGCUAGUUGGUGAGGUAACGGCUCACCAAGGCAACGAUGCGUAGCCGACCUGAGAGGGUGAUCGGCCACACUGGGACUGAGACACGGCCCAGACUCCUACGGGAGGCAGCAGUAGGGAAUCUUCCGCAAUGGACGAAAGUCUGACGGAGCAACGCCGCGUGAGUGAUGAAGGCUUUCGGGUCGUAAAACUCUGUUGUUAGGGAAGAACAAGUGCUAGUUGAAUAAGCUGGCACCUUGACGGUACCUAACCAGAAAGCCACGGCUAACUACGUGCCAGCAGCCGCGGUAAUACGUAGGUGGCAAGCGUUAUCCGGAAUUAUUGGGCGUAAAGCGCGCGCAGGUGGUUUCUUAAGUCUGAUGUGAAAGCCCACGGCUCAACCGUGGAGGGUCAUUGGAAACUGGGAGACUUGAGUGCAGAAGAGGAAAGUGGAAUUCCAUGUGUACCGGUGAAAUGCGUAGAGAUAUCGAGGAACACCAGUGGCCAAGGCUACUUUCUGGGCUGUAACUGACACUUUGGCGCGAAAGCCUGGGGAGCCCACAGGGUUAAAUACCCUGGUACUCCACGCCGAAAACGAU
rnacentral:rRNA from 1 species